rnacentral:rRNA from 1 species
GAUCCUGGCUCAGGACGAACGCUGGCGGCGUGCUUAACACAUGCAAGUCGAACGAGAAUCUGCUGAAGGAGGAUUCGUCCAACGGAAGCAGAGGAAAGUGGCGGACGGGUGAGUAACGCGUGAGGAACCUGCCUUGAAGAGGGGGACAACAGUUGGAAACGACUGCUAAUACCGCAUGACGCAUAGAGGUCGCAUGAUCUUUAUGCCAAAGAUUUAUCGCUUCAAGAUGGCCUCG